GUGGUGGUUGGAGAUGUGAAGGGAUAGGCUAGUUGGUGGAUGCAUUGUUCAGCCUUACUGCUUGGGGUAAGGUGGAUUUUGACCUUCACUAUAUAACCUUUGAUAAUAUACAGUUAGAAGACAAUAAGACUGAACAAAAGCAGCAUAAAACUUAUAGGCAGCACUGUAUGCUGACAGCAAAACAAUGAGGAGCAGUUCCUUUCAAAGACAAACAGCCACUUAAUUACUGCAAAUCUGUUUCAUUGGAGAUUAGGAAUUCAUUGAGAAUCCACAUCCUCUAAUAGAACUAUUCUUCUUUUCAAAUGGACAGUUGCCAUUCGGAUGAAGGGACUUGUGAAUCCUGCACCAGCUCCAACUUUGUACAGCAUCCAAGGAGUUUAUGCUUCUUUGGAGAUCAUGUCAGUCCAGACACCUAUUUAUCCUCGCAAACACGAAGAAAUCUGCAGAUGCUGGAAAUUCAAGCAACACACACAAAAUGCUGGAGGAACGCAGCAGACCAGGCAGCAUCUAUCGGAAGAGGUACAGUCGACGUUUUGGGCCGAGACCCUUCGUCAGGACUAACUGAAGGAAGAGAUGAAACAGGUUUAUCAUCACUGCCUUACAUGGCAUGAAACUUCAAACAAGAGAAAAUCUGCAGAUGCUGGAAAUCCAAGCAACACGCACAAAAUGUUGGAGGAACUCAGCAGGCCAAACAGCAUCUAUGGAAAAGAUUACAGUUGACGUUUUGGGCCGAGAUCCUUCAUUGGGACUGAAAUUUAUGUUUUGUCAUGGAAUUUGUUGUUUUGCAACAGCAGUACAUAGUAAGAUAUAAAAAUUAUGGUAAGUUACCAAAUAAAUAAAUAGUGCAAAACAUAAGGAAUAACAAGGUGGUGUUCCUGGGUUCAUGACUCGUUCAUAAAUCUGAUGGUGGAGUGGAGGAAGCUGAUUGUAAAUCACUUGGGUGUGACAUAAGCAAAGGCCUAACACCCCAAGAGAAAGGGGAUUUCUCCUGCAUGCUUGGGGAAAAACUGACCUCUCAAGCAGUAUCUCUCGAUCAACAAAAUGAUUGUUCUGUUCAAUCAUUGGGAGUAAAUGUUUCUAAGAAGGAACCUGGCGUUUAUCUGGUGUCCUUCAUUACCUUAAGA